rnacentral:rRNA from 1 species
AUGGAACAAGCUAGCAGUGCGCAGGAGGAGCCUAGCCUUGAGCUCACCCUGGCAAUGGCGGUGACAGCUGCGCCCGGCGGCUUCUUCCUCUGCGUCUACUGCGACCGCAAGUUCCGCAGUUCGCAGGCGCUUGGCGGCCACCAGAACGCGCACAAGACCGAGCGCAGCGUCGCCAAGCGCCGGCUGGAGAUGGCCGCCGCCAAGCGCCGGCGGGAUAUCGCCGCCACCAAGCGCGCGCAGCACGUGAGUUAUUCCCUGUCUUUGGCUUGGAAGGCGAGGGAGAAGGCUGCUCCUCCUGGGAUGCUUGGGCCUACAGGAGGCAAGCGCGCCAGAAGCUCGUUGGAGCGCGCCGACGAGCUGGACUUGUCUCUCCGGCUAUGA